UCCUCAGUAGCUCAGUGGUAGAGCGAUCGGCUGUUAACCGAUUGGUCGCAGGUUCGAAUCCUGCCUGGGGAG
rnacentral:tRNA from 4 species